GAACGGGUGAGUAACACGUAGAUAAUCUGCCUUUCAGACGGGGACAACUCAGGGAAACUUGUGCUAAUACCCGAUGAGACCACAAGAAGGGAUUUUUGUGGCCAAAGGCGGGCAGCAAUGCUCGUGCUGAAAGAUGAGUCUGCGUCCUAUCAGCUAGUUGGUGGGGUAAAUGCCUACCAAGGCUAAGACGGGUAGCCGGCCUGAGAGGGUGAACGGCCACACUGGGACUGAGACACGGCCCAGACUCCUACGGGAGGCAGCAGUGAGGAAUUUUCCGCAAUGGGCGCAAGCCUGACGGAGCGACGCCGCGUGAGGGAUGACAGCUUUCGGGUUGUAAACCUCUUUUAUUAAGGAAAAAGAUCUAUAUGCUAAUAUCAUGUAGAUUUGAUGGUACUUAUUGAAUAAGCCCCGGCUAACUACGUGCCAGCAGCCGCGGUAAUACGUAGGGGGCGAGCGUUGUCCAGAGUUACUGGGCGUAAAG
rnacentral:rRNA from 1 species